rnacentral:rRNA from 1 species
UACGUAGGGGGCUAGCGUUGUCCGGAUUUAUUGGGCGUAAAGAGCUCGUAGGUGGUUCGGUAAGUCGGAUGUGAAAUCUCCAGGCUCAACCUGGAGGGGUCAUUCGAUACUGCCGUGACUAGAGUUUGGAAGAGGCGAGUGGAAUUCCCGGUGUAGCGGUGAAAUGCGCAGAUAUCGGGAGGAACACCAAUGGCGAAGGCAGCUCGCUGGGACGUUACUGACGCUGAGACGCGAAAGCGUGGGGAGCAAACAGG